rnacentral:rRNA from 1 species
AAAAACCGAUCUUAGCGUAAAUUGCGCUGCAGGCCGCAUGAGCACUGGGAUUGCGCCUUUAAUGGUAAGAAGAUGAAUUAGCGAAAAGUUCAAAUAAUGAGCGGUCGAUAAGAUUUUUCUAUUUUAACGCUUGCUACUUCCGGCGAACUCCCUAUAAUGCGCUCCCACUGACACGGCGGAUGUGAAUCACUUCACACAAACAGCCGGUUCGGUUGCAGAGAAAAAUCCUGAAAAACGGGUUGACUCUGAAAGAGGAAAGCGUAAUAUACGCCACCUCGCGACAGGGCGCUAAAACGCGUCGCAACUGCUCUUUAACAAUUUAUCAGACAAUCUGUGUGGGCACUCAAAGUGACAUGGAUUCUUAACGUCCUCGGACGAAAAAUGAAUACCAAGUCUCAAGAGUGAACACGUAAUUCAUUACNCGAUUGACGUUACCCGCAGAAGAAGCACCGGCUAACUCCGUGCCAGCAGCCGCGGUAAUACGGAGGGUGCAAGCGUUAAUCGGAAUUACUGGGCGUAAAGCGCACGCAGGCGGUCUGUCAAGUCGGAUGUGAAAUCCCCGGGCUCAACCUGGGAACUGCAUUCGAAACUGGCAGGCUAGAGUCUUGUAGAGGGGGGUAGAAUUCCAGGUGUAGCGGUGAAAUGCGUAGAGAUCUGGAGGAAUACCGGUGGCGAAGGCGGCCCCCUGGACAAAGACUGACGCUCAGGUGCGAAAGCGUGGGGAGCAAACAGGAUUAGAUACCCUGGUAGUCCACGCCGUAAACGAUGUCGAUUUGGAGGUUGUGCCCUUGAGGCGUGGCUUCCGGAGCUAACGCGUUAAAUCGACCGCCUGGGGAGUACGGCCGCAAGGUUAAAACUCAAAUGAAUUGACGGGGGCCCGCACAAGCGGUGGAGCAUGUGGUUUAAUUCGAUGCAACGCGAAGAACCUUACCUGGUCUUGACAUCCACAGAACUUUCCAGAGAUGCUUUGGUGCCUUCGGGAACUGUGAGACAGGUGCUGCAUGGCUGUCGUCAGCUCGUGUUGUGAAAUGUUGGGUUAAGUCCCGCAACGAGCGCAACCCUUAUCCUUUGUUGCCAGCGGUCCGGCCGGGAACUCAAAGGAGACUGCCAGUGAUAAACUGGAGGAAGGUGGGGAUGACGUCAAGUCAUCAUGGCCCUUACGACCAGGGCUACACACGUGCUACAAUGGCAUAUACAAAGAGAAGCGACCUCGCGAGAGCAAGCGGACCUCAUAAAGUAUGUCGUAGUCCGGAUUGGAGUCUGCAACUCGACUCCAUGAAGUCGGAAUCGCUAGUAAUCGUAGAUCAGAAUGCUACGGUGAAUACGUUCCCGGGCCUUGUACACACCGCCCGUCACACCAUGGGAGUGGGUUGCAAAAGAAGUAGGUAGCUUAACCUUCGGGAGGGCGCUUACCACUUUGUGAUUCAUGACUGGGGUGAAGUCGUAACAAGGUAACCGUAGGGGAACCUGCGGUUGGAUCACCU